AUAUAUAUAUAUUAGUGUGACCAUAUUUAUUCCUCAUAUGGGUCAAGUGACAGUUUUUCUGGGGGCUACUUCAGGGAUAUAUUUUUAUUACUCUUAUUAUAAAGGUUUCACUCAAUUAGGCAUUUUUUUCAGUCUUGUUUUGAAUGCUUUUAUACUAAUUAAGCGAUCUGCUCAAUAUGACAGUAAGAAUAGUGGGAAGUUAGGAUUGCCAAAGAUAAAUUAAAUUCUUCCACAUCUAAGAUAAGACUGAAGUGUCGUUCAUCCCGGAGUCUCGGGCCCAGGAGGGCCCAGAACCUUGUGUGGAUGGGCUUCUUUCCUGGACUGGCUCCUUCUAGUUGGAGAAGUUGUGCAACUGCUUUCUUCACGGGCCUGGAAGAGCCAGAGGGAGAGUCCGAGCCUCUAGAAGGCAGAAAUAACUGCUGCUGCCCAGCCUUGCACCUUCACAUCACCACUGAAACCCACAUUUCCUUUUUUUCAUCUUCCCAAGAGAAGAACAAUUGUACCCUUCUUUUCCCUGUCAUGCUACCAGCACUCUAGCUCUUUAUUUCUUUAAGGUCUGUUUUCCCUCACUUUUUGGUAUCUUACCUCUCUUAACUGUGGCCAGUCAGGAAGGGCCGGAAGCUUCUUCUAAUAAAGCUUCAGGCAGGUUGACCACCAUAGGAAAAUGGCUGGAGAUGUGUCACCAGGCUGAAAACUGUCUACUGCACCCAGCCCCUGCUGGAGGAGAGGGUAAAAAACAGAUCCAGACCUUCUUGAGGAGCUUGUGAUGCCUGCUAACUGUGUGACUUGGACCUACUCGUUGCCCACUUACGAGACUGGAAUAUGGCAACUGGAGGAAGCAGUAAAUGAGCAUAGUGUUUCAUUCCCACUGAGCACUCAGUAAACAUUAGCAGUUACUAUUAUCCAUAUGCUCCCUCAGCAAACACAUAAUGAAUCUGUUUACAGACAUUUGUAUUUGACAAUUGAUUCAAUAUAGUUUUCACCUCUAAAGGCAGGAGAAAUUUCUGCAAAACCUACUCUGAGUUUUCAGGGGAUGGGACGGUGGUCGUUGUAAAGUUGACUUUUUUGGAGUUUUUGCUUCUUAGCUCCGUGUUCUGUUUCCUGAUCGCAUUCAAAAGUAGUCUGAUUUCCUUCCCUCUCAAACCUGCUCUUGCUGUGGUCCAGCCUUGAAUGGUCUUACUUUCUCACUGUCACUUACACUAAAUCUUUUCUCCCAUCUUUCUUACCACUGACCAUCAAGUCAUGGAGCUUCAGAUUCUGCAAUAUCUCGCAUGUCACCUCCUGUUCAUGCCUCCUACCUACUCCAUUAUGCUCUAGAAUGUAAGCUCCAAGAGGGAAGGACAUUUUGUACAAACGGUGCCUGGCACACCGUAGGCCUGCCAAGUGUCUGUUGAAGACAGGAAUUCGCCUGUUGAAGACAGGAAUCCUUGUCUGUUGACAGGAAUUCGCCUGUCAGUGGAAUGCCACAUCCAUUCUCCCUAACCAGUCUCCCUGCACACUUGCCUCUUAAAACAGAUCUUUUAAAGAUCAACCUAGUUAUGCCCUUGCUUCAAACCUUUCAGUGGCUUAUUUUAGCCCUCAGGAGAAAUGUUCACACCCAGCACCUAGCCUGUAUAAGGCGUACCUCAACUCAAUCCCAAAUUAUCCUCAAAGUUUCAUCGCUUCGUGCAUCACCCCUCCCACAAAAUUCCGUGGCCACACUUGCUGGUUCCUGGGCCUACUGGGUGUUUUCGCUGGUCUUUGCCUUUGCCAGGACAGUUCCUCUGCUUGGAAUGUCCGCCCUUUGGUCACCUGCUGAAAUCUUGUCCAUACUUCACAGCCUCAGUGAUGCCUCCUUUUAAGCUCCUGAUGUUCAGUAGUUACCACCUCAUCUGGGCCUGCUCAGCUUAUUGAAUUUCUCAUCAUCCUUUGUCUUGUAUUUUGGUUAAUUGUAAAUAUCUGAGCAUAGGAGUCCCUUGAAGGAAGGGACCAUAGCUUGGUAAUUUUCACUCUCGUGCCUAGCUCAGUGCAUGGCAGAAAGUAAUUUCCUGAUCCAUGGUGGACAUUCUGUGGUUAUUUUUGGUGUGGAUGUUACCUUUAUCAUUGUAGGGACAGAGAGACCAGCCUGACCAAACCACAGAGAAGGCGGAGUACAGAAUGGCUGGGAAGAUGCGUGGUGUUCAUAAGGUGUUGCUAUCAUUACAGUCACUGCAGUGGUGAUCCUCGUUGCCCUGGCUGGUUCUGUAGGUCUUGGCGGGCGCUGGGCGCGCCUGUCACGCCAGAUCUGGCCACCAGGUGGCACCCGCGCUCCACGAGUGCGGCUCACUGUGCUAGGCUUGGUCUCAGGCAUAGCUCUGCUUGUUGGCCGGAGACCAGCCUUGGGAAUCCUGCAGGGGUGCAGGGGACAUCCAGUGUCCGGCCAGAUGGUGGUUCAGCGCUGCCCCAUGGAAUCAAAGGGCCAUAAACUGAACCCCAGCUCUCCGAGCCAUGAGUCGAUAUCCGUCUUCACUCUGCUGAGCACCCAAGUGGGGCUCCACGCGCCCCUCCUCCGCAAGCCUUUUGUUUGUGUUUAUUCUGUUCCCUGCAGCCGGGGUGACUGGCCUCUCUCCCAGGCAGCCUGUCUGGCCAUAGGAGGGCUUAGCGCCUGCGGGACGCCGUGAGCUAUCAGCAUCCUCAGUCAUAGAGUCUGCCCUUCAGUGGUGUUUACAAGGUGUUUACAGUGGUGUGGGAAAAUGUGUUCUCCAGGCAGCCUCCUGCUGUCCUGCCUCCCUGCACCUAGCCCGCUGUCAGAAAUGCCACACAUCUGCCAGUCCCUGUUAUGACCAGCAUUAACUGGCUUUUCCUCUGAAUAGCAGCUGACCUGCGAGAAAAGGCUGGCACUGCAGGUUGGGGGGAGAUUGGAGGUAGCCUCCUGCAAGGAGGACACACUUAUGUGCUCAGGCAGGUGAACAGGGUGCCCAGGGCCAGGCCUGGCCACAUAUGCCAUUCCAUUUCUGGAGCUGUGUCUCAAGUUCAUCUCCCCAGCAGAGACUCCUUUCCUGCUGGGCCUGGGCUAUGUAGCCCUCCCAUCUUGUCCCUCAGCUGUCAGUGGGUACCAUGCUCUGGGCACAGUCUGUCCAGACUGUCCACUUCCCAUUCAGAGGCUGUUGGGAGCUGUUAGUUCUCAUGUGGAAACCAGAGUUCUAAGUGUGCAUGGACUCGUGGAAAUAGAGGGGUUAAUUUGUCUGUUUUAAAAAAAAUUUUUUUUAAUGUUUUAUUUAUUUUUAAGACAGAGAUAGAGUGGGAGCAGGGGAGGGGCAGAGAGAGAGGGAGACACAGAAUCUGAAGCAGGCUCCAGGCUCUGAGCUGUCAGCACAGAGCCUGACGCGGGGCUCGAACUCACAAACUGUGAGAUCAUGACCUGGGCCGAAGUCAGACGCUCAACCGACUGAGCCACCCGGGUGCCCUAGUUUGUCUGUUUUAUGCUCAGUCACAAAGGGGCAAUGGUUAGAACCCUCAUAUAUUCAUGUAUUUCUGUAUCUAUGACAACCAUAUCUUGUGUGCAGAAUUCUAGAAGAGAGGAUAUUUUUUAUUUUUAACUUAUUAUUAUUUUUUUGUAAUCUCUACCUUGAAAGUGGGGCUCGAACUCACCACCCCGAGAUCAAGAAUAGCAUGUUCUUCUGACAGCCAUCCAGGGAACCCAAGAGGAUGCUUUUGAGGCAUUUAUGUGACCUAUAUGGCACAGGACGUAAGGUCCUUAGUCCCUAUUCCCGCCCCUACUACACACACACUCUAGGGGAUAUGUAACACAGGAAGAGCCACAGCACCAGGAAGGCUGUGACUUUGGGUUUGGUGUGGGGAGGCAGGGAGGGACUGAAAAGAAAGCAGGGUAGAGUGAGCCGUGCGGUGCCUGGAUCACAGCCAGGAAAUGACUCCUCCCUGCAAAGAGCUUAAAAUACCCUCUCCCCCACUUAAGAAAACUCACAUGAAGAGGCUACAUCUGAGAGAGCACCCCAAGCCUCAGAGCAUGAAAUGGAGGUGAGGCUGUGUUGGCUCACAGAUUCUGGGCCUUGAUCCAGGAGGGCCUCUUGGGGACUCAGACCCUUAGCAGAUCCGAGGCCAAGCAGCUGGUCCUCAGGUGAACCCUGAGAACAAGCAUGAGUAGAGGCAUAAGUCCUAUAAAUCCCACCCAGAGUCCUAGUGCUGAGAAUAGGAGAGCAGCUGGAGGAGAAAGGUCAUUAGCAGAACUUGGGGCUUGCUGAGAAGUGGGAAUGAGGUGGGUCUCAGGAGCACGGUUCAGGCUUCAGGAAUGUGGAGGCUCUCCUGAGCCCUCUAUGAGGAGCUGGGGGCCGACAUCAGGACCCACUGCUCACUGGGGAUGCCUGAGCCAGUGAGCUCUACACCAGAAUGCAUCUUGGUAAACCACAGAAGCACUGGACACACUGUUUCCAAACUCCAAGCUGAACAAAGCCCCCUCUCCACCCCUGUACCUUCUAACGAUACUGGUCUUCCAGGUCUUAUAAUUUCCAUAGCUCAGCAAGCCUACUGGUUCCAACUCCUGGGGAGCCCAGUAGGAGGGUUACUAGCUCCCUGGGAAAGGCCCUGCCAGAAAGGGCCUGAAAAGGAGGCAUCUGUUUCCAAACUCCAAGCUGAACAAAGCCCCCUCUCCACCCCUGUACCUUCUAACGAUACUGGUCUUCCAGGUCUUAUAAUUUCCAUAGCUCAGCAAGCCUACUGGUUCCAACUCCUGGGGAGCCCAGUAGGAGGGUUACUAGCUCCCUGGGAAAGGCCCUGCCAGAAAGGGCCUGAAAAGGAGGCAUCUCUUUUGCACCUCUAAAAUAAGGACCAGCCGCUCUGCCUAAACUGCCCCCUAGAGGUGGUGUGAGGUGAGAGGAGACGAUGCUUGAGAAUAAAGCACUUUGCAAGCAUGGGGUAUUGAUAUUGCUGUGCACAGUUACAUCCAGUUAGAUUCUUGGCUCAGUGCCCUCAGUCACUUGUUUAAUUGUUUAGCGUUUAUGUGAAAUAGCACGUCAACUUGGGCCUCCUCAAACCACAACUCUUUUGCAGAAGUCCAGAGUUAAGCCAAAGAUUUUUGCAGGUUUCCAAGAGUAAGGGCAGUGCAUCUCACAAACACUUCAUUCUCCGUGACAUGAUUUAGACAAGAAACUAGUUCUUAAAAAAUAUCCCGCUCAAAGGUGCAUGAAUGUGACACAGUUUGCUGAAGUUCUUUGGGGAGAUGGAUGGGUUUACACCACAGCAAUGAAACACUUUUGAGUUGAAUGUUAGGCAUCCCUGUUCUUGCAAUUUCCUGGCACAAAACCAUCUCUGGGGUUGGGAUCUGGACUCCACCCUGCUGUGAGGAAUUUCACUGUCUAGACCUAGGCUUACUCUUAAUUCUCCUGCUUUCUCUCCAUCCAGUCCCCUUCCCUUGGCUUUAUACUCCGCCCCUUCUUUUCCAGAGUGAGCAAAUUCUCAUCGUUUUCUUGUAGGUCCAUUCAGCCAGUGGUUUCUGUCAGUCUCAUCUUCUUCCCCAAGGUGCUUGUCAAAGUAUUUUCCCCAAACAAGAAUAGUUCUUGCCUUAAGAGAACUCUGGGGCCAGCUGUUGAGAUGACAUUUUCACCUCAUGACAUUUACCAUAACAGAAUAAAAAAAUAUAUAUAUAUUUUUUCAACAGCUUUGAUGGGAACAGAUUAGAGCUGAGAAAAAUAACCUACAUAUUUUGUUAAAAACAAAAUUAGAAAGAAAACUCAUGAAUGACAUGGAGGGAAGGGAAUAAAACUCUCCCAGAGACCCGAGCAGCCCUAUCCAGUAGCUAAGACUAAAAGGGAAACAAGUGUGCACUCCUCAGCUUAAUACCCAAUCCCUGAAUCCCCCGCACCCCAGGGCCCAGUGGUACAGGGAGGCUUCCUGGGUUCUGAGCCCCUGCAGCAAAGGUUCUGGGAAAGAAUUGAAGCCCGGGGCCUCCUGGAUGUCUGGGGACACGCCAGGUAUGGGGGGAUGGGGAAGCUGGAGUCCAGAGGCACAGAGUGAGGCCCAUGGGGAUGGCCCCUUCUGGGGCCAGCAUCAGGACUGGGCUGCAAACCAUGGCUCACUCUCCCACUGUGAUGAGUGCCGGGCAAGCACAGAGUGGUUCCCAGUUCUCCUGGGCAGAACCCAGCACAGACCCUCUUCUGCCUCCCUGGAGCUGACUGGUUAUUUAGUCGUAACAUUGUCACUGUCACCGUGUGACCACCUGGUGACCGGUGACUUCCCUUUCUCAGUACCUCCAGCAGGCACCCCAUCCAGGUUAUUGCUGUGUGACUGAUAUGCAGAAGGUAUAUACAAGAAGUGUGGAAAGAAGGAAGGAAGAAGUGAUCGGAUCCAUGGCUGGGGGUCCAGGGUCUGAUUUCUGGCUUCUCCACUGACAGAUGCUGAGGCCUCUUGCAAACCUGUAAACCUCUUUAGAAUUCCACUUUUCUUAGACUGGCAUGGGAAGAGAGGCCGAUCUGGGAGGGAAGAGAAAAGGAGCUCAUGAGCUCGGUGUGGUAGCUGAGAGAACAAGGAGCAUGGGUACCUGGUCAGAAGCUCCCAGGCCCGGCCCCACGCCAUCAAUGUCAUCCUGUGCCGGGCUGGACUGCGUGCCCACACAUGCUUGCACGUUCGCCCCAAGUCCCCAAGAGAGCAGUUUCUCUUUCCUGCUAAUUUUACUUGGAAUAAGUGGAGACCCAGAAGGGUGAGUCGCCUGUCCGGGGCCACCCAGGCCUGUACUCCCUCUCGCUCCCAGCUGGGCCAGGUGCGGUGCAGCUGUUCACGUAUGCAGGAUGUUGCAGAAACUACAUGCAGGGCUGUGUGGGCCAAUUUUAGAAGGCAUUUAGAGCAUAAUCUCUGGGGCUUUGCAGUUCAAUCAGGUGGAGCCUAAAUGUAAGAGAAUGAAAGCUUGGAAUGUAUUCACGAUUUGCCUAAAUUCUGCCCGCUGUCUCGUCCCUCAUGCCCCCUCCUCCACUCACUCCCCACUUGUGCCAGUUUUCUCCUGUGAGAGCAUCUUGUGGUCACGCAAGCCUCUCACCUUGUCUCCCCCCGUCACACAGCCAGGGUCAGCGGGCCUGCUGUGCAAGAGAGCCCGAAUCCAGGUUUGAGACUGAGCCAGUGAACAGCGAUGGAGUGGAUGGCCAGAUAUUAAUUUUCCUGGUAUCCUCUCUGGAAGUCCUAUUGGAAAGUAUGUGCGCUUUGGGAUCAGAAAGACAGACAUUUGAAUCCCUCUCCACCCCGUAUCAGCCUUGUGCUUAUAUUUCUGUCUCUCUCAAUAAAAUAAAGGUAAUAAAACCUGUCCUGCUGGACACUUAUGAA